rnacentral:rRNA from 1 species
UACUCCUACGGGAGGCAGCAGUGAGGAAUAUUGGUCAAUGGACGCAAGUCUGAACCAGCCAAGUAGCGUGCAGGAUGACGGCCCUAUGGGUUGUAAACUGCUUUUAUGCGGGGAUAAAGUUUGGGAUGUAUCCCAUUUUGCAGGUACCGCAUGAAUAAGGACCGGCUAAUUCCGUGCCAGCAGCCGCGGUAAU